AUUCUUCCAGUUUAGUGCGUAACCAUUAGAACAUGGUGCUUCUCAUAGUGAGUCACACAUCUGAAAGUACUCAGUACUUUAUAGGGAUUCAGUGUAAGUUCUCUUCUCUUGACAGAGUAAAUUAUAUGGUUUAUUAACUGAACUCUAGCUUUUUAUGUGCAAAUGAUCUAUGCAUUAUCACACAAUUUCUGAUUUACUGAGGAAGCUUUAAUAACUGCUUUAUUAAUUAAGACCCCUGUCCAUGAUUUUUCAUAGCUGCAGCUCUAGAAGAACCCAUAGAACCUUCCAGGCAUCAUCUCAUUAGCUCUUGCUGCCCCUUCUUAAUAAUGGAGCUUCUUGGCCAUGAAUAGAGAGCCCAGAGACCUCUCUAGUGACAGGGAGAAGGAAAAUGUUCAAGCUCAUGACAGCUGGACUGCCCAAUCUCAGGUUUACAUUGAGAAGGGAAGUGUACCUUUGAAACCAAUUGUGAAGUUUUAAAGUGUGAAACGCAUACUGUGUAAGACUGAAGAGGAUGAUUUCCAUUGAGUUCCAUGAAAAAAGAUCUGGAUGUGGGUAGCCACAUUGACUAUAUUCUUUCAAAAGGGUUCUUCUAAUGGAGCUACUCUUGAAUAUCACAGAAUAAAUGAAAGUUAUGGAAGCCUGUAUUUUUUUUCUGGUUGAGUUUUUUUUUUUUUUCUGUUGGAGAAGCAUGAUAUUUUUCUCAUGAUUUUUGUAUCUUAGAUUAUGUUGACAGUGUCAGAUCCCCAGAGAUGUGGUGACAUCAUCUUGCCUGAUUACAAAAAUAUUUGAAUGGCUGGGCUUAGAAACCCACCAUUACUUCUUACGAUCUUCAGUAAGUACGUGUUGGUCACAUGAAAUGGGAAUGCACUAGAUCCUUAAUUAAACCUUCAGCCAUACUGAAAUUCCCAUUCUGGAAAGUGGCAGCCCCAGGCCCCAACACAGAGGAGCUCUGCACUAUCUCAUUUCCCCUUUGGCAAACCCUUCACCUUUGCAAGGCCUGCCCUGCCCUUGUCUUGAGCUACAAUUGGAAGAGAGAGAGAGACUUGAAAAGCAAGGAGUUCUUGUUCUUUUGGUCCUGACUCAAAGAAUGCUAUAAAUAGAAGGGGCCUGGAGCUCCCAUCCUACACUAUGAUUCUCUUUGGACAGACUAAACAUUUGACCCUACUGAGAAUACAACUUCUAUUUAAUCAAAAGGCAGUACGGCUGCUAUUAAAUCAAAAGGCUUAUUCUUAUUAGAAAUUAUUUCAAUUCCAGAGAUAAAUGGCUAAGGCCCUUUUCUCCUGCUGAUUGAGAUUCUUUGUCGUCGUUAAUAGAGCCCUAAUUACUAAGACCGUGGCCUAACUUUGGUUCGCUGGCUUACAACUGCUCAAAUAACAUUUCCAGCUGUGGAAUAAAUAUAGAUGACCACCUUAUGUCAAAUGUCAGCCUUUUAAAAUGUGUUUGGAUAUGUAAUGUUUCUUACUAAUUUAAUUUUGAUAAAAUAAGAUGUAACAGUCUGUUGCUUCUGGUGCUUCUGAGUUGCAAGAAUGGGUAUGAAGGGAUGAGACAAGAUGCCCUACAUUCAGCGCUCCACAGGAAACACACACAAACCCACAAUUUGGUCUCUCUACCUCGCUAUUUACCAGGUUUACAUGAAAACAAGCAAGGCACACCUUUUCACAGACACCCUCUAUUUGUGAUUGGGAGGCAGAGUGGCUUAGUGGUUAAGCACAUGGGCCUUGGAGUCGGACCUGGCUUUGGAUCCCCAGCCUCCAGUUAUAGUGGAGGGGCCUUGGGCAGGUUAACCUACCCUUCUUCCUUAGCCUCAGCUUCGCCGUCUGUUACAUGAAAAUAGUAACACGAACCAGAGGCUCAAAUGAGAUAAAGUAUGUAAAAUACUGGAUGCAGGCUCUGAUAGCUCUCAAUUAUUACCAUAUUUACAUGAUUUCUUUCCCUUUAGGCCAACCACUACCUAGAACUGUGCCAGCCCCCCACCCUGCACUUUAGGAAGCAUUUCUUUGCAGAAAGCUCAAGAGGAUGUUGACCAGUCUCUACCAGUCUCCCCUAAAUCUUCCCUGCCGGCAGCCCAGGACAUUUGAGGAGCUACAGAGCACUUUCCUCUGGGUGUUGAGAGAUGUAAGGGCAAGAACUGGAGAAGCAGGGCCUGUGCUUGCCAGGUCCAGACAUUUGGUCUCUUAUUUGCUCCCAGUGCAUCGCUGUAGGGUAGCAGAAUUGGGAUUUUUUACCCUCCCCACUUCUACAGCAGAGGAAACAGGCCUGGGAGCUUUGCAAGGCGAGACAGAAGUUGAGCCCAAACCAUCUAACCUCCCCCGGUCAGUGCUCUCUGCACCUGGCUGCUGUCGCCUCAGCAUCAGAUGCCAAGAAAGGAGAGACACAGACGUCAGUGUCACUGACACCUGGGGCUGUCCCCAUCAUGACUGGUGUCAUGGAGCGGCAUCUCUGAAGCUCUGCAGUUGGAGAAGAAGCAGAAAGACCUCACCACUGGGCCCCUCCUGUCCAGUCCCACCCUGCAGUCUGCCCAGCGUACCCGCUGCCCUCGCAGUUCCUCAAGCUGAAACCAGAGGACCAUCCCCUCUGCCGGAGCAGGAUGUGACCUCCACUAGGCAAAGCACAUCUAUUUGAUCUUGAACAAAAGGCUGCGAUGGUGUCUAAAAUGACAGCUCCCCGGCGGUGAUGUCAUGGUGUUUUGUUUGUCUCCAUGGAAUGCGGGGAUCUGAUUUCAGUUGUGAAGAAAAAUGGUCUGGGGAAAAAAAAUUACUUCAUUCGGAAAAUUCCGAGAAGCCAUAAAUACGGUUUGCAGCUGAUGAAAGCACAUUCACAGGCAGACAAUGGCUUUGGGAUGGAAGCAGAGCCCUCUGGAGAGGCCAAGCCCUUCACCCCCACCCACUGCCACCAGCAGUCCUGCUUCUCCGGGGCUUCUGGCAAGACUGAGAGCAAUUCCUCUGUCCGCUGAGGAGAUGCUCCGUUCCCCAGUGGCAAGUUGGCUGGGGACAGAUUUUCCCUGGUUCUCAUCUGAAAUUACCUCCUGCCCAGUUCAUCCCUGGAGCAUCUGGCACAGUUGCGUCCACCUCCCCUGUCCUAAAUAAUUGACCUGCAUUUCUGAGUUCUGAAAGCAAAUUAAAAAUAACAUUUUGUUUUGUU